rnacentral:rRNA from 1 species
UACGUAGGGGGCAAGCGUUGUCCGGAAUCAUUGGGCGUAAAGAGCGUGUAGGCGGCCCGGUAAGUCCGCUGUGAAAGUCCAGGGCUCAACCCUGGGAUGCCGGUGGAUACUGUCGGGCUCGAGUCCGGAAGAGGAGUGUGGAAUUCCUGGUGUAGCGGUGAAAUGCGCAGAUAUCAGGAGGAACACCAAUGGCGAAGGCAGCACUCUGGGACGUGACUGACGCUGAGACGCGAAAGCGUGGGGAGCAAACAGGG